rnacentral:lncRNA from 1 species
CGCCAAACCCAGCGGCUGCCCCCCCUUCCCGAAUCCGUGGCUUCCUCCUCCUCCUUCCCCGAACGCGCCGUCACGUGACAUCCGCGCGGGGAGAGCGCGGGCCGGCUCCGCAGCGUGCUUCAGGAUCGAUCGAACACGUGAUCUCGCGCGCGAAGACAAAAUUCUCGCCACCGGUUCCCCACACGGGGCGCGAGACCAACUGCCAAAGCGGGGAGCCAGACGCUUUUCUCCCUGGGCCAGACAGCGCUGAGCGUCUUGGACGGACUCGAUUCCAAGGAAAACCCAAAGCCUAUUUGGCUAUAGUUUAGGAAAUACCAGUGAUCCCAGAACCACCCAAUAGGGGAUAGAAAAUACAUGCACAGGGCAAGACUUCAACUUUUUAAGGCAGUCUAGUGUUUAUUCUAGCAACACACAUUCACUGCAUGAAGAGGAAAAUGGAAGUGAGAAGUUUCAGCAGCCCUACAAUAGUUGCCACUAUUGUUUUCACAAUCAUUAUCCACACACUACAGUAUUAUAUAGAAAGGCAGCAUCUCCAAAUGUGCCAAUGAGGAAGUUAAAUUUGGAGACACGAAUAACCAAAUGGAAAAGUUCUACUGUGUGUUGCUUUUUUAGUGUCACAGUACAGUUUUCAGAAUGCCCAGUGACUCCUUCCCUUUGCAAUGGCAUUUCAAGUAUGAGUCAGAAGAUUUGGAUGAAAGCAAAGUUUUCCAUAUACAGAACUCCUUCAUUGUUCACAACGGUUUAUUUCAUCCCACUCAUUUUAAGAGACAGAAUGGCAAAGAGAACAGAAUUCACUCUAAAUAUUUUUGAAGUUAUAGAAACUGAUUUGAAAUACUACUGAAACAAGAGGGGACUUCAGGAGCUGUUUCUUGCCCACUUCGGCUUACGAAUGUUUUCAGUAUCAUACCACCCACCUGAAGCUUUUGUUCAGUGAACAUACCUGGUUAUGUUUGCUAUCAAUGCAUAAAAUAAAGAGUAAAAUGUGUUUAUUCUGAUUUUCA